rnacentral:rRNA from 1 species
CCUACGGGUGGCUGCAGUGAGGAAUAUUGGUCAAUGGGCGCGAGCCUGAACCAGCCAAGUAGCGUGAAGGAUGACUGCCCUACGGGUUGUAAACUUCUUUUAUAAAGGAAUAAAGUGAGGCACGUGUGCCUUUUUGUAUGUACUUUAUGAAUAAGGAUCGGCUAAAUCCGUGCCAGAAGCCGCGGUAAUACGGAGGAUCCGAGCGUUAUCCGGGUUGAUUGGGUUGAAAGGGAGCGUAGAUGGGUUGGUAAGUCAGUUGUGAAAGUUUGCGGCUCAACCGUAAAAUUGCAAUUGAUACUGGCAGCCUUGAGUACAGUUGAGGUAGGCGGAAUUCGUGUUGUAGCGGUGAAAUGCUUAGAUAUCACGAAGAACUCCGAUUGCGAAGGCAGCUUACUAAACUGCCACUGACAUUGAUGCUCGAAAGUGUGGGUAUCAAACAGGAUUAGAUACCCCAGUAGUC